rnacentral:rRNA from 1 species
UACCAGCACCCCGAGUGGUCGGGACGAUUAUUGGGCCUAAAGCAUCCGUAGCCGGUUCUACAAGUCUUCCGUUAAAUCCACCUGCUUAACAGAUGGGCUGCGGAGGAUACUAUAGAGCUAGGAGGCGGGAGGGGCAAGCGGUACUUAGUGGGUAGGGGUAAAAUCCGUUGAUCCAUUGAAGACCACCAGUGGCGAAGGCGGCUUGCCAGAACGCACUCGACGGUGAGGGAUGAAAGCUGGGGGAGCAAACCGG